ACGAACGCUGGCGGCAGGCUUAACACAUGCAAGUCGAGCGCCCCGCAAGGGGAGCGGCAGACGGGUGAGUAACGCGUGGGAAUCUACCUAUCUCUACGGAAUAACCCAGGGAAACUUGGACUAAUACCGUAUACGUCCUUCGGGAGAAAGAUUUAUCGGGGAUAGAUGAGCCCGCGUUGGAUUAGCUAGUUGGUGGGGUAAAGGCCUACCAAGGCGACGAUCCAUAGCUGGUCUGAGAGGAUGAUCAGCCACACUGGGACUGAGACACGGCCCAGACUCCUACGGGAGGCAGCAGUGGGGAAUAUUGGACAAUGGGCGAAAGCCUGAUCCAGCCAUGCCGCGUGAGUGAUGAAGGCCCUAGGGUUGUAAAGCUCUUUCACCGGUGAAGAUAAUGACGGUAACCGGAGAAGAAGCCCCGGCUAACUUCGU
rnacentral:rRNA from 1 species